AAAGAACCAUAAAUUUACUUUUAAGAUUAACCAAGAAAAGAAUAUAUCAAGACAUGAAAAUUUCUUUGAUGAGAGCCCAUUACUAUUCUCUCCGACACAUUUGCUUUUGCUUUUUGCAGUAUUGAUUUGCUUUCCCUCAACAACCUAAACUAUUUCAUCACUUCAUUCACAUAUGUACAAAAACAGAGACAACAAAAGAGACAAAACUACCACUAACCCUUUUUUGACCCUCUUACCCCAUCAAAACACACCCUUUAGCAAAGGUAUCUACUUUUGUUUCCCACUUUGUCUAUCUUGUGAUCCCUUUCUUUCCCCUUCAGGAAAGGAUCACCUCUGAGUUGGUUCCUUCGGAUUUUAAUGGAUUUUGAGCACAUUAAGACUCUUCAAAACUAUUCCCCAACCAAACUUACUCUCCCGCCCGCAGUAUCUUUUCCAAUUGUCCAAAUCGUCAUCAUAAUCAAAACUCCUUAUUCACCUGAAAAUUUUCAAUCGGGAUCAGUCAGACUCAAAGAAGCCAUUCCUAAUUUAUAUGCAAAACUAAUUUGAGAACUCACAUAAGAAUUGUUGUUCAAAUUAAAAAGGAUCAAACUUUUUUUCAGCAAAAUCAGCCCUUUUAUUGUUCAACACAGAAACAGUUAGAAGGCAGCAUUUCAAAGAGUUCUUUGAGCUAAUAAAAGCCCAAACAUUGCAGAUGCAGCACCAAGGUAAUGCUUCAAGCCAAAGCAUGCUAAUUCAGUACACCCCCAAAUGAGAACUAAUAAAUGGCCUAUGACACAGUAUAUGCCCUAGAAAACAACAAUGUUCAAGACAUGUUUUCUAAUUCAAGAAGUAAAUGACUCACUCACGGUAUAUGGUUGAAAUUAAUAAGAACCACAAAAGAAUUUGCACAAACUAGAAAUGGUAGAGAUUUUGCAAGAACUAGAAAAAUAAAACAAGAUAAAAAGACCAGAAAGGUUAUUCCUAUCAAAAUUGGAUUAUGCCAUUCCAUCACAUCCCAUAUUUAACUAUUUUCCCUUAUUUUUUUUCUCUUCCCUAGGUCCAUCCAAAAUUUUGAGUUUGAACCCAACAGCCUAGCGCAAAGAGGCAGGCAUUAAUUGCAUUCUGGAGAGGACUCCUUACUCAUUGGACUAUUUUCCCAAUGGCAAACUAUUUGCCAUUGGUUACAUACCAAAGUUUCCUUGUAAUUUUCUUCCAAAAAAAAAAAAAAGUUUACUCCUUGUAAGCCCUUGAGCAUUUGGAAAAUGCAAUUAAUUCCCAUUUUCUUUCUAAUAGGGAAAUUAGGUUGCAUAUGAUAAUGACAAGAAGACCAAGUCGAGCUCAAAAAGAGUUGGUUUCAGCGAAAAAUCUACAUACACAGUAUGUGUAGAAGUAACCAAGAAAAGUGCAACUUGACUCUUGACUUGGUCCAAAGCAACUACUAAUCCAAUAUUCCAGGAUGGAUCAAACAACCCUCCACUAAAUAUCUACCAUUAAUUCUCUCUCGUGUCAACUCACUAACUCAAUGCGAAAAACUGCAAUCAGUAAUGGAAAAUUUCCAACUUACCAGGAACAAGCAUUUUCAGUCCUGGAAAAUGACCUUAUUGGCGAUUUUCAUCAAUGGUCUCAAACAAUCCGGCGAGAAUUUCCUCGAGAACAAAUAAGAACUUGAGUAAUUCGAUUUCCUUAACUCGUGAAUCAGUACCGGCGAGAUUUCAGCCGGCCGGUAAGUGUACGGAUGGCCAUUGGUGGUGCCCGUCCAAUUGACCCUUGUUAGUGUGUAGUGAGUGCAGCCUUUAGGAUCUGACAUUGAUAGGAGAGUAGGAAAAUAAUGCUCUUCUGGGUAGCAUUCGUCGGCCCUGUAACAGGGCUGCUUAAAUUUCUUCCAUAGACUCCGAUCCUUAAUCACCAUGAGCGCGUGUCGGCGCGUUAGCAGGAAAAAUUGAGACCCCACUCUAAAUUUCUCAAAGGGUACUUCUGGCAUUAAGGAAUAUCUCCCCCUAGCAACGUAACGCUUCCAUAGACGAGGUUCUUUGGAGUUAAUUUCGAUGAAACUCUUGUAUUGAACUCGAACUCCGUAUUGAGUGGACUCAGAGUCUGAUUCAGAAGACGUGAGAUCGAAAGAUUUGGAAGAGAUGAGAGAGUUAUAGACAUAGCUAAACGAAUGGAGCGGGAUACAGUACUGGGAAAGGACAGCGAAGUAAGCGUUGGCAGGAUCAUCAAGAAUAGCGGUGGCCAAGAGGCGGCGCGUGGCGGAGACCAAAGUAGGAGACGCACGGUAGGUACGUUUGGCAUGUUGAAUGAACUGGGUCUUGAAAACACCAUCUGGACGAGUGAUAUUUACAGAAGGAUCGGCAUGGACAUAGAUAUUGUAGAGAUCCUUAUUCGAUUUAAAGAACUUUUCCCACAAAGGAGCGAAGUAGAGAUCGGUGUUGGUGAGGAAAAGGAAGGCGAUUUUGAGCUUGGGGUGUUUGGAGGAGGAGAGGUGAGAGAAUGAGGAAGGGUGGGAGGAGGCCGCGGCGGCGGCCCGGCGGAAGAGGGAAAGAUCAUCCUGCUCAUCAGAAGGGGAGAUGGGGGGAAGGCGAGGAGGAAGGAUUCUGGGGGCCAAGAGAAAGAGAAUAGGGAGGGAAAGGAGAAGGGAAAAGGUGAGGACAAACGGGGUAGAGAACAUUGAAGGAGAAAUUUUCAGGGAGAAAAGAAAGUGAAGGAAAAGGGAGGAAUUGGGAAAUGAGGAAGAGUGACAAUUUGGCAUAAAAAAAUGUGAGAAUUUAGAAGAAACAAGGUUAAGGGAAUGUUUGGUUUCAGGGUUAUGGAGAUUUUGUAGUGUAAAGAGAGUUUCAGCUUUCAAGAGGGCGGAAGAGAGAUGGUGAGAGGUGAAUGGCGAGGGGCGAUUGGGACAGAAUGGAACGUACGACGUUAAAUAUGACGACGUUAAGAGACGCGGGUGUUCGUCUGUUAGUUGUUAUUUGUUAACUUGCUAGUAUUUGUAGAAGUGAAUUUUCAGGAAGGGAAAGGAGAAGACGGCGUUAGUUUUCAGAAGGGCGUUACCGUUAGUGGUGAAACGGUUUGUAGAUUUCCCGGGAUCGGGGAUCUAACAAUCUUCUCUAAGAGAAACGGAAAUUAGUUCCUUCCUGUGCAGGUCGGCGCACGCUAUAAAUGUAAAUUUCUGAAAAUCAUUGCC
rnacentral:misc_RNA from 1 species